UACGGAAGGCAGCAGUGGGGAAUAUUGGACAAUGGGCGGAAGCCUGAUCCAGCCAUGCCGCGUGUGUGAAGAAGGCCUUUUGGUUGUAAAGCACUUUAAGCGAGGAGGAGGCUCUCCUAGUUAACACCUAGGAAGAGUGGACGUUACUCGCAGAAUAAGCACCGGCUAACUCUGUGCCAGCAGCCGCGGUAAUACAGAGGGUGCGAGCGUUAAUCGGAUUUACUGGGCGUAAAGCGUGCGUAGGCGGCUGAUUAAGUCGGAUGUGAAAUCCCUGAGCUUAACUUAGGAAUUGCAUUCGAUACUGGUCAGCUAGAGUAUGGGAGAGGAUGGUAGAAAUUCCAGGUGUAGCGGUGAAAUGCGUAGAGAUCUGGAGGAAUACCGAUGGGCGAAGGGCAGCCAUCUGGCCUAAUACUGACGCUGAGGUACGAAAGGCAUGGGGAAGGCAAACAGGAUUAAGAAUAACC
rnacentral:rRNA from 1 species